GACGGAGGAUGCAAGCGUUAUCCGGAAUGAUUGGGCGUAAAGCGUCUGCAGGUGGCAGUUCAAGUCUGCUGUCAAAGACCGGGGCUUAACUUCGGAAAGGCAGUGGAAACUGAACAGCUAGAGUAUGGUAGGGGCAGAGGGAAUUCCUGGUGUAGCGGUGAAAUGCGUAGAGAUCAGGAAGAACAUCGGUGGCGAAGGCGCUCUGCCGGACCAUAACUGACACUCAGGGACGAAAGCUAGGGGAGCGAAUGGG
rnacentral:rRNA from 1 species